UUCUUUACUGUUAUCUACAUGAGACUUCUAUUGAAUUAAGGAACAAAAUUUGAUUUUCUGCAAAAUUGAUUUCAAUUUGUUGUCAAUUUCGAAUUGAGUGCAGGUGUGGUAGAGAAAUAAGAGAUUUUUAAAGUGGGGUAUCUAAAAUUCUAAAUAGAGGAGGAGAUGAUUUCCUUUGUCAUUUUACAUAUCAGAUCAGGAGCUUGUAGUGCAACUCGAAAUGUAUCCAGAGAAAACCAAAGAUUAUGUGGAGAAAGUAUUAAAAGAUUUUACCGAACUCAACCAAUCUUUUGUAUUCGUC